ensembl:misc_RNA 7SK 7SK RNA
GGAUGUGAGGGCGAUCUGGCUGCGACAUCUGUCACCCCAUUGAUCGCCAGGGUUGAUUCGGCUGAUUUGGCUGAUUAGGCGGGUGUCCCCUUCCUCUCUCAAUGAUCCAUGUGCAUCCCUCCUGAAGCUGCGUGCUCUCUUGGUAGAAGAGGACAACCACACCUGAUAGACAAAGACCGUUCCUAGUUCAAGGGUAUGCGAGUUACUGCUGCUAGAACCUCCAAACAAGCUCUCAAGAUAUCCAGGAAAUUAAAAACAAAAAUUUAUAGGUCAAAAAAUCUUGUUACCAUCAUCCAUUUUU